GGGAAUACAGCCCAGUUGGUAGAGUGCUUGCCUUCCAUGCACAAGGCACUGGGUUCAAUCCCCAGUAUCCCG
rnacentral:tRNA from 1 species